UACGGGGGGGCAAGCGUUGUUCGGAAUUACUGGGCGUAAAGGGCUCGUAGGUGGCCAACUAAGUCAUACGUGAAAUCCCUCGGCUUAACCGGGGAACUGCGUCUGAUACUGGAUGGCUUGAGGUUGGGAGAGGGAUGCGGAAUUCCAGGUGUAGCGGUGAAAUGCGUAGAUAUCUGGAGGAACACCGGUGGCGAAGGCGGCAUCCUGGACCAACACUGACGCUGAGUGAGCGAAAGCCAGGGGAGCAAACGGG
rnacentral:rRNA from 1 species